rnacentral:lncRNA from 1 species
GCUGCUGUUGAGAUUGUGCAACAAUCUUCUGGUGUUUUGUCUGAACAUGAUAGGAACGACCUUUCAUUAUAUUCAUCUGAUGAAGUUGGUUUGCUUCUAGUUGAUGAAAUUGUUGCUGCCCCUGAAGUUCUUGCGUCUGGUUAAGUAACGCUUGCUGCUGUAAUAGAUGCAUUUCAUUUAUUCCUGAAUGCUGUCUAGGUAAAGGCUGAAGCAUUCCGUUUUGGCGGCCACUUAAUUGCUGUUGUCCUCCAAAGAAAUCAAAAUUGACAGGAGAUUCACCAGCAUCAUUCCUAGCCAAAUUUUUCUUAUAAAGCUCAAGACCACUGCUCCCUUGUGACUCUGGCACAGGUAUUCCUCUUGAUAGGCUG